AUCGAAAGACCUUAUGCUUUUGGAGCGGCCGAUGUCUGAUUAGCUAGUUGGUAGGGUAAUGGCUUACCAAGGCGACGAUCAGUAGUUGGUCUGAGAGGACGACCAGCCACACUGGGACUGAGACACGGCCCAGACUCCUACGGGAGGCAGCAGUGGGGAAUUUUGGACAAUGGGCGCAAGCCUGAUCCAGCAAUGCCGCGUGAGUGAAGAAGGCCUUCGGGUUGUAAAGCUCUUUCAGUUGAAAAGAAAAAGCCGUGACUAAUAAUCAUGGUUCAUGACGGUAUCAACAGAAGAAGCGCCGGCUAACUACGUGCCAGCAGCCGCGGUAAUACGUAGGGUGCAAGCGUUAAUCGGAAUUACUGGGCGUAAAGGGUGCGCAGGCGGUUCUGUAAGUCAGAUGUGAAAUCCCCGGGCUUAACCUGGGAACUGCGUUUGAAACUACA
rnacentral:rRNA from 1 species